UACAGAGGUCUCAAGCGUUUGUUCGGAUUCAUUGGGCGUAAAGGGUGCGUAGGCGGGCGCGGUAAGUCGGAUGUGAAAUCUCGGAGCUUAACUCCGAAACUGCAUUCGAUACUGCCGUGCUUGAGGACUGGAGAGGAGACUGGAAUUUACGGUGUAGCGGUGAAAUGCGUAGAUAUCGUAAGGAAGACCAGUGGCGAAGGCGGGUCUCUGGACAGUUCCUGACGCUGAGGCACGAAGGCCAGGGGGAGCAAACAGG
rnacentral:rRNA from 1 species